GACGAACGCUGGCGGCGUGCUUAACACAUGCAAGUCGAGCGGUAAGGCUCCUUCGGGAGUACACGAGCGGCGAACGGGUGAGUAACACGUGAGCAAUCUGCCCUUCACUUUGGGAUAAGCGCCGGAAACGGCGUCUAAUACCGAAUACGACCACUUCCGGCAUCGGAUGGUGGUGGAAAGUUCCGGCGGUGAAGGAUGAGCUCGCGGCCUAUCAGCUUGUUGGUGAGGUAAUGGCUCACCAAGGCUUCGACGGGUAGGCGGCCUGAGAGGGUGACCGGCCACACGGGGAGUGAGCCACGGCCCAGAUGCCUACGGGGGGCAGCAGUGGGGAGUAUUGGACAAUGGGCGAAAGGCUGAUCCAGCAACGCCGCGUGAGGGAUGACGGCCUUCGGGUUGAAGACCUCUUUCAGCAGGGACGAAGCGAAAGUGACGGUACCUGCAGAAGAAGGACCGGCCAGCUACGUGCCAGCCGCCGCAGUAAGAC
rnacentral:rRNA from 1 species